rfam:Treponema denticola ATCC 35405, complete genome.
AGUUUGUUUACAAACUGCAUACAAUAAUGCGACGUUUGCCGAAAGGCAAACUCGGCAGAUAAACAGUGAGGCUGAAUUUCUGCCGAACUGUUUAUCACAC